UUUUAAAUUGAGAGUUUGAUCCUGGCUCAGGACGAACGCUGGCGGCGUGCCUAACACAUGCAAGUCGAGCGAUGAAACUUCCUUCGGGAAGUGGAUUAGCGGCGGACGGGUGAGUAACACGUGGGUAACCUGCCUCAAAGAGUGGGAUAGCCUCCCGAAAGGGAGAUUAAUACCGCAUAACAUUAUUUUAUGGCAUCAUAAAAUAAUCAAAGGAGCAAUCCGCUUUGAGAUGGACCCGCGGCGCAUUAGCUAGUUGGUGAGGUAACGGCUCACCAAGGCAACGAUGCGU
rnacentral:rRNA from 1 species